rnacentral:lncRNA from 1 species
AUAUUUAAGACGGUAGGAAUUAUAUCCAAACAAAUUUCAGGUACCGGAGUUUAAAUAACUUAAUUAUUUUAUAUCUCAUGGAUCCAUAUUCCCUUCUUUCAAGGAAGAGAAUCCAAAUUAAAAACGAUACUAACAAGGUUAAGACACAAGAUAAAACAACAUUAACAAUUUAAGAAAAAAAACAUGCAUGACUUGGUUUGUUCACUAUUCUUACGAGCUGUCUCCAAAUACAUGCAAAUGUGGGUCCCCAAAUCCCCACACGCACCCUUCUAAACCGUUCAAUAUAUCCCUCACAA